GCUGAUAUGGCUCAGUCGGCAGAGCACUUCCUUGGUAAGGAAGAGGUCACGGGUUCGAAUCCCGUUAUCAGCUCCA
rnacentral:tRNA from 1 species